rnacentral:misc_RNA from 1 species
GAUGAAGAACGCAGCGAAAUGCGAUAAGUAAUGUGAAUUGCAGAAUUCAGUGAAUCAUCGAAUCUUUGAACGCACAUUGCGCCCGCCAGUAUUCUGGCGGGCAUGCCUGUUCGAGCGUCAUUACAACCCUCAGGCCCCCGGGCCUGGUGUUGGGGAUCGGCGGAAGCCCCCUGCGGGCACAACGCCGUCCCCCAAAUACAGUGGCGGUCCCGCCGCAGCUUCCAUUGCGUAGUAGCUAACACCUCGCAACUGGAGAGCGGCGCGGCCACGCCGUAAAACACCCAACUUCUGAAUGUUGACCUCGAAUCAGGUAGGAAUACCCGCUGAACUUAAGCAUAUCAAUAAGCGGAGGA